rnacentral:rRNA from 1 species
GUGGGGAAUUUUGGACAAUGGGGGCAACCCUGAUCCAGCCAUUCCGCGUGAGUGAAGAAGGCCUUCGGGUUGUAAAGCUCUUUCGGCAGGAACGAAACGGUGAGCUCUAACAUAGCUCGCUAAUGACGGUACCUGAAGAAGAAGCACCGGCUAACUACGUGCCAGCAGCCGCGGUAAUACGUAGGGUGCGAGCGUUAAUCGGAAUUACUGGGCGUAAAGCGUGCGCAGGCGGUUGUGUAAGACAGGUGUGAAAUCCCCGGGCUUAACCUGGGAACUGCGCUUGUGACUGCACGGCUAGAGUAUGGCAGAGGGGGGUGGAAUUCCACGUGUAGCAGUGAAAUGCGUAGAGAUGUGGAGGAACACCGAUGGCGAAGGCAGCCCCCUGGGCCAAUACUGACGCUCAUGCACGAAAGCGUGGGGAGCAAACAGGAUUAGAUACCCUAGUAGUCC